UGGAGAUUAUGGCUGAAGCCUUGUCUUCCAAUUCUCAUGUUUCUGUUGGAAUUGUUUUCUUAAAAAAUUAGGUCAAUGUUGACUGCUGGGAAGUUCCAUGUUAUUCCUGCAAGAAUUUGUUGUAGGGCUUAAGAAGGGUAUUGACUACUCUGCGGAUUAUGAAGCACACUCCCAGUUGGAUUUAUUAUUGGAGAAGUUAUCCAAAAAUUCAUGCAUUUUGGAAACAUUUUCUUGUAGAAAUUUUUUUGACAAUUCCCAGAUAUGGAUCCUUUUAUUUUUCUUUUCUGCUGCUUUUAAGGCCUUUUUUUUGAAAGUGGGCAGUGUAACUUUCAAUUACUAGUUGAAGUCAAC
rnacentral:lncRNA from 1 species